rnacentral:rRNA from 1 species
CCCUUAGAUGUUCUGGGCUGCACGCGCGCUACACUGAUGCAUGCAACGAGUUUUCGACCUUGCCUGAAAAGGUUGGGUAAUCUGUUUAACAUGUGUCGUGAUGGGGAUAGACCAUUGCAAUUAUUGAUCUUCAACGAGGAAUUCCUAGUAAGCGCGAGUCAUCAGCUCGUGCUGAUUAUGUCCCUGCCCUUUGUACACACCGCCCGUCGCUCCUACCGACUGAGUGAUCCGGUGAAUGAUUCGGACCAGCGUGCUGCUCAGAUCCUGCGCAGUGUGCUGGGAAGUCUAGUGAACCUUAUCACUUAGAGGAAGGAGAAGUCGUAACA